rnacentral:rRNA from 1 species
AUUGAACGCUGGCGGCAGGCCUAACACAUGCACGUCGAGCGGAGCGACGGACGGGGGUGUAAAGCCUAGGAAUCUGCCUGGUAGUGGGGGAUAACGUCCGGGAACGAGAGCUAAUACCGCAUACGAUAGGAUGAGCCUAGGUGGGAUUAGCUAGUUGGUGGGGUAAAGGCCUACCAAGGCGACGAUCCGUAACUGGGCGGAGAGGAUGAUCAGCCACACUGGAACUGAGACCCGGUCCAGACUCCUACGGGAGGCAGCAGUGGGGAAUAUUGGACAAUGGGCGAAAGCCUGAUCCAGCCAUGCCGCGUGUGUGAAGAAGGUCUUCGGAUUGUAAAGCACUUUAAGUUGGGAGGCGUUACCAACAGAAUAAGCACCGGCUAACUUCGUGCCAGCAGCCGCGGUAAUAC